GAUGAACGCUGGCGGCGUGCUUAACACAUGCAAGUCGAACGGGGUACCCCCAAAGGAGUUUUCGGACAACUGCGGGGAAUACCUAGUGGCGGACGGGUGAGUAACGCGUGAGUAACCUGCCUUGGAGUGGGGAAUAACAGCUGGAAACAGCUGCUAAUACCGCAUAAUGCAGUUGGGUCGCAUGGCUCUGACUGCCAAAGAUUUAUCGCUCUGAGAUGGACUCGCGUCUGAUUAGCUAGUUGGUGGGGCAACGGCCCACCAAGGCGACGAUCAGUAGCCGGACUGAGAGGUUGGCCGGCCACAUUGGGACUGAGACACGGCCCAG
rnacentral:rRNA from 1 species